UUGUGAGAAAUCUACAUUGAAUACUUGUCCUUCUGAUUCUGUGAGCUCCACUGUUUGUUCACCAUGCAUUCGAGCAAUCUCGAGUAUACUGCUCAACUCUUUAUUAUAAUGGAUAACUUUAUUGUGUACAUCUUGGUAACUCCAUUGAACGUUUUCUGACAGGAGAACAUCGUAAAGAUUUUUAUGAUCAACCUUCUUUGUGAUGAUGUUGUGAUUGAUAAACUCGUCGAUUUUUUGAAAGGCGAACAACAUUUUUUGGUCGGAACGUCCCAUAACCUGAAGCGUUAUGGACUCUUUGCCGCAGCCAAACGCAAGAGGAACAAAACUCGGCUUUUUAUGCGAUGAAGCGUCGUCUAAACAAUCAGAAAAUUUAUCAGUGGCUUCACAAUUGAAGUUUUGAUAAAAUUUAUAUGCUUCAAA